rnacentral:rRNA from 1 species
CGCGAAUGGCUCAUUAUAACAGCUAUAAUUUACUUGAUCUUGACACAAUCCUACUUGGAUAACUGUGGUAAUUCUAGAGCUAAUACAUGCAUUAAAGCUCCGACCUCACGGGAAGAGUGCAUUUAUUAGAACAAAACCAAGCGGCUUCGGCUGUUUCUGGUUGACUCAUAGUAACUGAGCUGAUCGCACGCGUCUUGCACCGGCGACGUGUCUUUCAAGUAUCUGCCGUAUCAACUUUCGAUGGUAGUGUAUCUGACUACCAUGGUGAUCACGCGUAACGGAGAAUAAGGGUUCGGCUCCGGAGAGUUCGCCUGAGAAAUCGCGAACACAUCUAAGGAAGGCAGCAGGCGCGAAAAUUACCCACUCUCAGCACGAGGAGGUAGUGACGAAAAAUAACGAGACCGUUCUCUUAUGAGGCCGGUCAUCGGAGUGGGUACAAUUUAAACCCUUUAACGAGUAUCUAUGAGAGGGCAAGUCUGGUGCCGGCAGCCGCGGUAAUUCCAGCU